rnacentral:rRNA from 1 species
AUUGAACGCUGGCGGCAGGCCUAACACAUGAAAGCUGAGAGAGCGGCGGACGGGUGAGUAAUGUCUGGGAAACUGCCCGAUGGAGGGGGAUAACUACUGGAAACGGUAGCUAAUACCGCAUACUAUCAGAUGUGCCCAGAUGGGAUUAGCUAGUAGGUGGGGUAACGGCUUACCUAGGCGACGAUCCCUAGCUGGUCUGAGAGGAUGACUAGCCACGCUGUGGCUGAGACACGGUCCAGACUCCUACGGGAGUACACAGUGUGGAGUAUUGCACAAUGGGCGCAAGCCUGAUGCAGCCAUGCCGCGAGUUUGAAGAAGGCCUUCGGGUUGUAAAGGACUUUCAGCUGGGAGGCUGUACCCGCAGAGGAAGCACCUGCUAACUCCGUGCCAGCAGCCGCGGUAAUUC